AUUGAACGCUGGCGGCAUGCUUUACACAUGCAAGUCGAACGGUAACAGGCCGCAAGGUGCUGACGAGUGGCGAACGGGUGAGUAAUGCAUCGGAACGUGCCCAGUCGUGGGGGAUAACGCAGCGAAAGCUGCGCUAAUACCGCAUACGAUCUAUGGAUGAAAGCGGGGGACCGUAAGGCCUCGCGCGAUUGGAGCGGCCGAUGUCAGAUUAGGUAGUUGGUGGGGUAAAGGCUCACCAAGCCAACGACCUGUAGCUGGUCUGAGAGGACGACCAGCCACACUUGGACUGAGACACGGCCCAGACUCCUACGGGAGGCAGCAGUGGGGAAUUUUGGACAAUGGGCGCAAGCCUGAUCCAGCAAUGCCGCGUGCAGGAAGAAGGCCUUCGGGUUGUAAACUGCUUUUGUACGGAACGAAACGGCUCUGGUUAAUACCUGGGGCUAAUGACGGUACCGUAAGAAUAAGCACCGGCUAACUACGUGCCAGCAGCCGCCGUAACAC
rnacentral:rRNA from 1 species